AUCACCAGAGUCCAACACAAUACCGGUGGUACGACCACUGGCAUACAGUGAGAGUACAGCCUGAAUAGCAACAUACAUAGCUGGGGUAUUGAAAGUCUCAAACAUAAUCUGGGUCAUCUUUUCACGAUUAGCCUUUGGGUUAAGAGGGGCUUCAGUUAGGAGGACAGGAUGCUCCUCAGGGGCAACACGAAGCUCAUUGUAAAAAGUGUGAUGCCAGAUCUUCUCCAUAUCGUCCCAGUUGCUGACA
rnacentral:misc_RNA from 1 species